UAUUCGAAAAUGAAAAUAUAACAAUUUUUUGCUCGUGAAAUAAAUAAUAUAUGCUGGCUGCUAAGUGCAUGAAUACAUGGAAUGAAAUUUAAAACUGAAAACUUACAGGGGCUGAAGCCCAGGUAUAUCAUGAGUCGGAUCCAAUAUGAUGAUGUCUGGCAACAUGGGCCGGCGAGACAAAAUAAAAACAACCUAUUAAAAAUAAACCAAACCUUGGCCGAACGGAACAGUAAACUGGUCCGGAACAGGAAAGGGUAGCGUACCAGUUCGAAAUGAUAACCGGGGACUUGCGAAACAUGAGCCGGCCCAGGUUUCAAACAUCCGUGUCCAAAAAAAUCCUAUUAAAAAUAAAGCAAAACUGGGCCGGACGGAACAGUAAACUUACCAAACAAAUUGGGCCGGAACAGGAAAGGGUAACGUACCAGUUUGAAAUGAACACAGAGGACUUGCAAUAAGCUAAAAAAAGAAGAACAAAAAUAGGAUCCAUCGUACAAUCCUGAGCCGGCCCAGGUUUGAUAAGGCCGGAGAAGGACCAAAAAGGGGGCAGCAAUCUCGAUGGGCUUGCGGAAAUAGCGGGCUGUACGUACAUACGUGGGAAUGUACUAAAAUGGACCGGUCCAGGAUAUCCAUCGGAUAGGAAAAUAGAAGGAAAGGAUAUCAGGAGCACUGGGUCUCGGGAGCCAUUAUGAAUAUUCGUUAUCGGCGCGCCUUUU
rnacentral:lncRNA from 1 species